UACGAAGGGGGCUAGCGUUGCUCGGAAUUACUGGGCGUAAAGGGCGCGUAGGCGGAUGUUUAAGUCGGGGGUGAAAUCCCGAGGCUCAACCUCGGAACUGCCUUUGAUACUGGAGAUCUUGAGUCCGGAAGAGGUAAGUGGAACUGCGAGUGUAGAGGUGAAAUUCGUAGAUAUUCGCAAGAACACCAGUGGCGAAGGCGGCUUACUGGUCCGGAACUGACGCUGAGGUGCGAAAGCGUGGGGAGCAAACAGG
rnacentral:rRNA from 1 species